rnacentral:rRNA from 1 species
GGCAGCAGUGAGGAAUAUUGGUCAAUGGGCGAGAGCCUGAACCAGCCAAGUAGCGUGCAGGAUGACGGCCCUAUGGGUUGUAAACUUCUUUUAUGCGGGGAUAAAGUUCGCCACGUGUGGCGUUUUGCAGGUACCGCAUGAAUAAGGACCGGCUAAUUCCGUGCCAGCAGCCGCGGUAAUACGGAAGGUCCAGGCGUUAUCCGGAUUCAUUGGGUUUAAAGGGAGCGUAGGCCGCCUUUUAAGCGUGUUGUGAAAUGUAGGGGCUCAACCCCUGCACUGCAGCGCGAACUGGAGGGCUUGAGUACACACAAAGUAGGCGGAAUUCAUGGUGUAGCGGUGAAAUGCUUAGAUAUCAUGAAGAACCCCGAUUGCGAAGGCAGCUUACUGGAGUGUAACUGACGCUGAAGCUCGAAAGCGCGGGUAUCGAACAGGAUUAGAUACCC